rnacentral:tRNA from 1 species
UCCUCUCUAGCUUAAGCAAAGCGUUAGUUUGAAGAGCUAAAGUUACAUUUAUCUGUGGGAGGAG